AUUGGCUGGGGGAGGGCCCUGGGCUGUGAGGAGCUCUUUGAUUGGUCGAGAAGAGGAUGGCAGGUGAACAGCUCUCUCCCAUUGGCCGAUGCUUGGGUGUCAAAUCUCAACCUCGAUUUCCACUCGCUCCGAAAGUGCCGGCAGCCGCCUGCCCGCUGCCGCCUGCCCGCUGCCCCCCGGGGCUCUCUUGCUGCCCCUGGAGGUCCCUCCGUUGGCUCCCCGGUACCCCCGACCCAGCACCCAUGGGUGCUCCAGGAGGUUUCGUUUCGCCGCAUGCGGUUGGGAGGAUGACGUGUCCCGAGGUGGAAGGGGAAAGCGUCGGGGUCGGAGGCUUUUCUCCUGUCUGGUAAAGGUGGAGAGGUGUUAGGAGGACUGUGAGCUGGGCAGGAGAGGGACAGCACUUGGAAAUCACUUCCUGGGAACAACUGGAGAAAAGUGGAAAACACUCCUGAGCAAACUGAAGCUCUUGUUUGCAAUAAGUCCAAGUUUGCCACAGCCUCGGAAACAUCAGGGAAAGCUGAGGACAGCCCUGAGCGAGAGGUCUGUGAUGGUUUGCAAAAGAAGUAACAGCACUAGAAAUCCGGGACUGAGAGAUGGGGAAGGACUGGCGACCAGCCAAUGAAGAUGGCAACUCUGCCUGGAAGUACUGAGGACACAACCAGCUUUGAGCUUGGUCCUUCUGGCCGAGGAAGUCUCCCGAUUAUGCAGUGGAGCGGUAACUUUGCUUUCUCAUAUGGCAGGGAACAUUAUUCCAUUGCCUUUCAUCAUAUCCAGGCUUAAACAAGUUUAAGGAUGUGGCAGCAUAAAGCAUUUAAUCUGUGUUACUCACUCGCUGACAUCUCCAGCGUCAGGUCCGGUUGUUUAGCAACAACUGCUGGGUUCAGAACCGGCUCAGACACUCUGCGUCCGCCAUCUCCCUUCCUUCAGCACCAGCCUGGCCUCUGAUCAGCAGCCUGAGAGAGAGAGGGAGAGAGAAGGGCUCUGGUUACAGGCAUGCACCCACCCCGACCAAAUCUUGGGAUUUUGGUCCUUGGGUUUCCAAGGCCGCGGGCGCUGCGGUUCCAUCCCCGACUCCAUCCCUUGGUGCAGUACCCCAGAGGGGAGGAUGCCACCUCCAACAGCAGUGCGGUGGUAGCAACAGGGAGGGAAGAAG